rnacentral:rRNA from 1 species
UACGUAGGGGGCAAGCGUUGUCCGGAAUUAUUGGGCGUAAAGAGCGUGUAGGCGGUCCGGUAAGUCGGCUGUGAAAGUCCAGGGCUCAACCCUGGGAUGCCGGUCGAUACUGCCGGACUAGAGUUCGGAAGAGGCGAGUGGAAUUCCCGGUGUAGCGGUGAAAUGCGCAGAUAUCGGGAGGAACACCUAUGGCGAAGGCAGCUCGCUGGGACGUUACUGACGCUGAGGCGCGAAGGCUAGGGGAGCGAACGGG